rnacentral:rRNA from 1 species
AUGGACUUCUAUCAAUAUUUUCUUCCAAACAAUUCUGUUAUUGCCGUUAUCUUCUUGGGAGUACUUGAGAAGGCGUGGCUGGGAAUGUGGGGACACGCCAUGGCAGAGGCGCAUGGUCGGCAGGAGGAGUCAGGGAGGCCUGAAGGUGGACAUGUGGAUGUUAUCGUGGCAUUGACACAUUUCGCUCCACUGAUGCUACAUACCAGGGAUGCGGUGGUGGUGCAGGAUUCGUUGGAAGCCACACAGCGCACCCGAGAAGGAGAGGAGGAGAAUGCUAUGAGGAGAGGAAAUGAUAAGUUUUAUUGUUUUGUUUUAAGAGCAAGGGAUUUGAUAUGUAGUCCCCUGGCUUAUUUGUAUUCUACUAUGUGUAUGGUCAAAGAAAUCAUGAUUUUAUACACACAUAUAUUUUUAAACAAAACCCUAUGUAUGUUUUUCUCAAACAGUGUCAUCGGAAAGCGCUCAUAUUUUCAAUGCGUACAUGAUUUUAAAUGGUUCUUUGUGAAGAUGGUAGCAAAUAUUUUGUGCUAUCAAAUUAAAAUGUGUGUAUAUACAUCUCAUUGUAGACAACAAUCAAUCAUGUUUCUUAUUAAAGGUUAUUGCACCAUGGAUAAUUUUUUCCUUGUGCAUAGGGAUUUAGAGUGCCUCUGCAUCAUUUGGCGCAACAAAUCCCCGUUUUCCCUAACUAAGAGAUUAAGUUUGUUGUCAUAUGUGCUUGCCCGUAACAAAAUCAACUAA